UACGUAGGGGGCAAGCGUUGUCCGGAUUUAUUGGGCGUAAAGAGCGUGUAGGCGGCCAGACAGGUCCGUUGUGAAAACUCGAGGCUCAACCUCGAGACGUCGGUUGAAACCGUCUGGCUAGAGUCCGGAAGAGGAGAGUGGAAUUCCCGGUGUAGCGGUGAAAUGCGUAGAGAUCGGAAAGAACACCAACGGCGAAAGCAACUCUGCUGGGCCGACACUGACACUGAGAGACGAAAGCUAGGGGAGCGAAUGGG
rnacentral:rRNA from 1 species